rnacentral:misc_RNA from 1 species
CAAAGAAACCUAUCUUGAAAGGACUAAAACAUUUUCUCUCUUUUUCUUAUUCUUUAGAGAAAACAAACGUUCAAAAAAAAUAUACAAACAUUCUUUCACUUCACACAUAGGCCAUAGCCAUGCUGGAGGGAUGCUGAACAUGGCAUUCUUCUACGUAAAGUACUAGUCAACCCUGCAUCCUUUUUCUUGCCUCUUCUUUCUCAUGCUCUUUUAAGUGGACCGUCCAUUGGAAGAGCAAAGAGUCCUGCUCUGAAGAAGCACCAUUUGUAACGCCCUCACCAUAGGUAG